CGACACCCUAUUGGUUUGUACGCGAUCCAUCGCACCUGCGCAGGACACAAAUCACGUGACACUUCAAUUACCGCAACGCUGAACAUAGCAGACGGAGCCAAGUACGAAGAUGUCCGUAGCAGAGGCGCAAACCUAAUGUCUCAGCCACCAGCACCAGGGGAGUUGGUAGCCAGGAAGACCAACCAACCCCAAGCCUUAUACAUCCCUGGCCGUACCUGGAAGAAUGUUUUAAAUGGUUGGAUGGGAAAAUGUCAUUGCGCAUGCGCUGUAAGCUACGCGCGCCCAAAUACCACGACCUAAUGGCUUUCAAAAACUCGCCUAAUUUAAAAAAAAGCAUAUUGAGAAGUCCAGCCUUCUAGAAACGACCCAGCAGUUGGAUGUGUACCUGAGGUGCCCAGGAGACACAGUAGAUGUACUGAAGUCCUUCCCAGCCGUGUGCCAGCGAUCACUUAAGCUUAACACGGCACUCCCGGCCUCAGCAGCCUGUGAAAGACUGUUUAGUGUUGCAGGGCUGAUCUUCAGGCCAAAAAGAAGCUCAAAGAACUUUGAGAACCAGCUGCUUUUGUGGAUGAACAAAGCCUAUUAGUAACUCUGUCACAUGUUGAUUACCCUGUUGUUGUUUGAGUCCAAUGUGUUUGUUUUAAUAAAGGUUACUGAUGACA